rnacentral:rRNA from 1 species
UACAGAGGUCCCAAGCGUUGUUCGGAUUCACUGGGCGUAAAGGGCGCGUAGGCGGUCAGCACAAGUCAGUUGUGAAAUCUCCGGGCUUAACUCGGAAAGGUCAACUGAUACUGUGCGACUAGAGUGCGGAAGGGGCAACUGGAAUUCUCGGUGUAGCGGUGAAAUGCGUAGAUAUCGAGAGGAACACCUGCGGCGAAGGCGGGUUGCUGGGCCGACACUGACGCUGAUGCGCGAAAGCCAGGGGAGCGAACGGG